GAACUGUUAAAGAAUUUACAUUAUCAAGUAAUAAAAAUUCGAGACAAAUAGCAUCGAAAUAGUUAUGUAUCGCAUAUAAGUAAUACGAUGAUACAAAUAGUUAUGUAUUGCAUAUAAGUAAUACGAUGAUACAUAAUAUAACAACAAUUCAAUUUACAUUUCAAUCUCAUAACAUUUUUUCUUUUAAGAUAUUCGGCCGACAAGCCAGUAAUCUGAUAUAAAUUGAUGUGCAACCCACAGUCGCAGAUCAAACAUCGAACCUUCUAGCUCUUUCCAGAGAUAAAAGUGGUAUUAGAAAGGAGCCCGGAAAGAAAGUUCUCACAUCCAAUACAGCAUUUUUAAUUCACCUUUCACUUUCCCAAUCAUCGAUUCAAUAGGCUGCAAAACAGAGAGGAGGCUAACUAAAGAACACAAGUAGAAAUCAGCUCUAACAAAGGAAGUUGUAACAACACACAAAAUAGUAGACAGCCCUCAGAUCUUUCAUACAGAGCUUAUUUGAAGUCAUUGACGGCACAUCGCAUUGGUAUCCACCAAAGCCAAAAGACCUAACAUCAUCAUCGCCACCACUGUAACCAUCAUGCAUGUGUAUAUAUAUAUAUAUAGAAAGAGAGAGAGAGAAAGAGAGAGAGAGAGAGAGAGAGAGAGAGAAAGAGAGAGAGAGAGAGAAGCAGGUGCAGCAAUGGAGAUGAUGAGUCUCGCCUAGAAACAACCAAGCGGUACCAUCGGACUCAUAAAGUCAUCAUCACUGGGCUUGAAUCGUUUUAAAAACAACUACACUCAGCUAUUAUAGAUAUACCAUAUUGUCGCAACAUCAAUGAACAAAACUUCAAAACUAUAAAAACAGAAACUUGAAACUGCAUUGUUAACAAAACGCCCUCAGUAUUCGUUUAAAUCUGUCAUUUGUGGCGCACCAAACUCCGGUUAUCAAAUGACCCGUAGUUACCAUUGCAAUAAACCAGGAGCAGCAGCAGAAGCAGCGAUAACAAGAGAAAAAGAAGAAGAAGAAGAAGAAGGAGAAGAGAUAGUGUUGACAAUGAUGAUGAUGAUGACGAUGAGCUGCAAUGAUUACUACGAGGUCAAAAACUGAAAAACCAGGGCACCACUCAGAAAUUUCAAAUUUACAUCAAUGGGCAAAUUCAGAAUCCGAUAAGACAGAAAUAAACCAAGUAAAAACUGAAACUUUUUUCGAAAAAUCAAUGAAAGCCCUCAGAUCUCAUAGCUAUAUAUCUGAUCAUUCACGGUUUGCAAGUAAAUGGGUAAAAUCCAGCAAACCUAAAAGCCCCAAAAACCGCUAAUCCGCAUCCGACGCACGUGUGUGAAGGUGAAAAAAAACUGUGGAAGUGAAAAGUGCGCGUGUGAAUGUCGUCGGCGACGAAUCAGCGAUGUUCAAGAGUUAAAGGAUACACCACAUGCCGGAGAUUAUCCAAAUACAACCGCUCUAUUACAUAAUUUAUCCAUCAUAGGGCAAAUCAACAACAAUAAACUGCAAAACAGUAUUCAGAAUUAUCGUAUCAGGUUUGAAAACUAAACCAAAUAAAACACUUCGAAAACGAAAAUCGAUUGUCGACGAGAGAUCUAAGUGUUAAAAGUGAAAUCGGAACUGAGCCGAUUUUGCUUGGAGGUGAACUGAAAUAAAAGAGAUGAAAUUAGGGCUUCAGUAUGUUAAAUGACGUUUGUACCAUCACGCUUUAAGCCUAUACAGUAAAUUGUUAUUAUUAGGUUCGUGGGCUGGCUCUGAGGUUAAAAACCCAUUACUACAAGCCCAUUAUGAUUAAACAAGCCCGUUAUGCAAAACUCUGACGACAAGAUUAACAGAAGAUGUUUUGAUAAAUUACGAAUUUUUUUGUGGUGUGAUUUGGUGCUCCACCACCACUCUUGCAACUGGCAAUAUUUAAACACAAAGACAAACCAUUAGUAAAGUGGAUUUGUAGAGGAUAAUUCAUUCAUAUUCAUCAAGUUUGGAUUUCUAAACAUGCUUAAGUUCUUGAAUAAGGUUAGUAAAAGAAGAAAACAAAGAACUAACUUCUCUUAUUGUCUUUUUUUUUUCAAAAAGUUUUAAAGGAAAACGUAUAAUAUCUGACCAAGGAAUAUAGUAUAGUUUUUUUUUGGGUAAAAAUAUAGUAUAGUUUUAUGGACCAAUUAAUCUUAUGAUUUAUAGCUAAUCGGAUAUCGUUUUAAGAGAUGGUAUUAAAAUCCAAAAACAAAAAGCGGCAACCAGAAAUAAGCCACAUUGACCCUUUGAAAUUAGACUAUCCGGGAAUGGCCCUUCAAGAACACUUUCAUCACCAAGAUCUAAAGAUACUAUAUUUAAGAUAAUUGAUGACAUCACAUAACUUGGUUCAUCAAACUAUAACUAUCGUCGUUAGGUCAAUUCUUAUUAUAAAAUUCCAAUCGUUUUAUUAUUCUCGCAAAAAUCCACAUAUAGUGGUUGAAAUGUUGUUUAAUUGGUCCACACCCCAAAAUAAGAUCACCAAUAUUCAAUAAAAAGUUUGGCACAGGUUUUGUGAGUUUUAAUUCGAGUCAUUUGACCAUGAAUUAAGUGAAUCAUAGUUACAACAAAAAGAAAAAUGAAAAAGAGCUUUAUCUAAUUUUUGUUCGUGCCCGCAUCGUUGUGGUCUAGGAAAGGGUUGUGUGAGGUUUGGGAAGUUUGGGUUUGGGCCAAAGGCCCAAGCAGUUUACAUGGUAGUCCAAUAACAGGCGAUCUAGCUAUCUCUGGCAUUAGUUGGAAGGCAUUUCAAACUCGGGACAGGUAGUAUGGUGGCCCAUUUGGAUCUCAUGGAUCUCAUGGCCCGUUGACUCGAGUUCGCUUGAAGCUCAUAGUGUCUGUUGAACCGUUGAACCAGGGAGAAGUCCACACUAUAGCACUUCGAUGCGUUCCUACUGGAGCUGACCGAAUCAGCCGAUAGGGUUUAUCAAAAAAAAAAAAAAAAAAAAUUUGUUCGUGAAAAUAAACUCAAAACUAUGCAAUCUUCACAUUCCUUUUGUUUAUGCAACUUUCACAUUCCUUUUGUUUUUAUAAAAUACUGUAUAACAUAUCAAAACUAUUAAAGAACUUCAACAAAAUAUUUUAUUGAGAACGUAAAUUCAAAACGAUGCUUAUCGUGGGGGUCUCUCUAGCUAUUUGAUGAACUCUUCACACCAUAUUCACAGACGAUUUUAGACUUUGGAAUUGUAGAAAUAAUAUUAUAUAAAAAAAUUUGUUUGACGAAAAAGAGGGAUUAGCUAGUAUUAUUAUACUAUUAACUUCGAAUAACAAGUCUAAAAAAACCAACAACAAUGGGAAAAGGAAACUAUAAAUCAUGUACCGUGAGAAGACAACCAUUGAAAUUUGAAAUCUCCGUCUUUCACACGAGAUAG
rnacentral:lncRNA from 1 species